GACAGCGAGGCCCAGGACCGAGUUUUGGUGUUGGAGGUGGAGGUGGGGAUAUGACUGGUGAGGUGUAAAAGGACGCGUAGAAGCAAACUGCUAGGCACCCUGGAGGGUCCGCAGAACAGCUCCUCUGCAGGGAUCUCCUACCAGAGACUGGUGAGGGCUGAGCAGGGCCUGCCCAUCAGGAGUCACCGCAGCUCCACCGUCACCGUGCUGCUGCUGAACCCAGUGGAAGUGCAGGCCGAGUUCCUUGCUGUAGCCAAUAAGCUGAGUACGCCCGGACACUCGCCUCACAGUGCCUACACCACCCUGCUCCUGCACGCCUUCCAGGCCACCUUUGGGGCCCACUGUGACGUCCCGGGCCUGCACUGCAGGCUACAGGCCAAGACCCUGGCAGAGCUUGAGGACAUCUUCACGGAGACCGCAGAGGCACAGGAGCUGGCAUCUGGCAUCGGGGAUGCUGCAGAGGCCCGGCGGUGGCUCAGGACCAAGCUGCAGGCGGUGGGAGAAAAAGCUGGCUUCCCUGGGGUGUUAGACACUGCAAAACCAGGGAAGCUCCAUACCAUCCCCAUCCCUGUCGCCCGGUGCUACACCUACAGCUGGAGCCAGGACAGCUUUGACAUCCUGCAGGAAAUCCUGCUCAAGGAACAGGAGCUGCUCCAGCCAGGGAUCCUGGGAGAUGAUGAAGAGGAGGAAGAGGAGGAGGAGGAGGAGGAGGUGGAGGAGGACUUGGAAACUGACGGGCACUGUGCCGAGAGAGAUUCCCUGCUCUCCACCAGCUCUUUGGCGUCCCACGACUCCACCCUGUCCCUUGCAUCCUCCCAGGCCUCGGGGCCGGCCCUCUCGCGCCACCUGCUGACUUCCUUUGUCUCAGGCCUC
rnacentral:sRNA from 1 species